rnacentral:rRNA from 1 species
GGAUGAACGCUGGCGGCGUGCUUGAUACAUGCAAGUCGAACGGAGAGUGUAGCAAUAUACUUUUAGUGGCGAACGGGUGAGUAACGCGUUGGUGACCUGCCCCGAAGCGAGGGAUAACAGUUCGAAAGAACUGCUAAUACCUCAUGUGAUCACCGGUUUUAGAAUCUGGUGAUUAAAGGUGAAAAUCACUUCGGGAGGGGCCUGCGUCCCAUCAGCUAGUUGGUAAGGUAAUGGCUUACCAAGGCGAUGACGGGUAGGGGACCUGAGAGGGUGGCCCCCCACAAUGGAACUGAAACACGGUCCAUACACCUACGGGUGGCAGCAGUAGGGAAUAUUGCAAAUGGGCGAAAGCCUGAUGUAGCAACGCCGCGUGUGCGAUGAAGGUCUUCGGAUUGUAAAGCACUUUUUGGAGGGAUGAGGAAGGACAGUACCUCCAGAAUAAGCCUCGGCUAACUACGUGCCAGCAGCCGCGGUAACACGUAGGAGGCAAGCGUUAUUCGGAUUUACUGGGCGUAAAGCGCGUGCAGGCGGUUUGGAAAGUUGGAUGUGAAAGCUCCUGGCUCAACUGGGAGAGGUCGUUCAAAACUUCCAGACUUGAGAGUGGUAGAGGGAGGUGGAAUUCCGGGUGUAGUGGUGAAAUGCGUAGAUAUCCGGAGGAACACCAGUGGCGAAAGCGGCCUCCUGGACCACUUCUGACGCUCAGACGCGAAAGCUAGGGUAGCAAACGGGAUUAGAGACCCCGGUAGUCCUAGCUGUAAACGAUGAUUACUCGAUGUUGGCGAUACACAGUCAGCGUCUGAGCGAAAGCAAUAAGUAAUCCACCUGGGGAGUACGAUCGCAAGAUUGAAACUCAAAGGAAUUGACGGGGGCCCGCACAAGCGGAGGAGCAUGUGGUUUAAUUCGAUGAUACGCGAGGAACCUUACCUGGGCUCGAACGUAAGAUGACUGUAGGUGAAAGCUUACAUCUCUUCGGAGCAUUUUACGAGGUGCUGCAUGGUUGUCGUCAGCUCGUGCCGUGAGGUGUCGGGUUAAGUCCCAUAACGAGCGCAACCCCUACCUUUAGUUGCCAUCAGGUCAUGCUGGGGACUCUAAAGGAACUGCCUACGCAAGUAGUGAGGAAGGCGGGGAUGACGUCAAAUCAGCACGGCCCUUACGUCCAGGGCUACACACGUGCUACAAUGGCCGAUACAGAGGGCAGCUACCUGGUGACAGGAUGCAAAUCUCCAAAGUCGGUCUCAGUUCGGAUCGGAGUCUGCAACCCGACUCCGUGAAGUUGGAUUCGCUAGUAAUCGCGCAUCAGCCAUGGCGCGGUGAAUACGUUCCCGGGCCU